rnacentral:rRNA from 1 species
UACAGAGGUCCCGAGCGUUGUUCGGAUUCACUGGGCGUAAAGGGUGCGUAGGUGGUGGGGUAAGUCUCGUGUGAAAGCUCGCAGCUCAACUGCGAAAAGUCACGGGAUACUAUUCCGCUGGAGGGUUGGAGGGGGGACUGGAAUACUUGGUGUAGCAGUGAAAUGCGUAGAUAUCUGGAGGAACACCGGUGGCGAAGGCGGCGUUCUGGACUGUAACUGACACUGAUGAACGAAAGCCAGGGGAGCAAACGGG